GACGAACGCUGGCGGCGUGCUUAACACAUGCAAGUCGAACGGAAAGGCCUUUUCGGAGGUACUCGAGUGGCGAACGGGUGAGUAACACGUGGGUGAUCUGCCCUGCACUCUGGGAUAAGCCUGGGAAACUGGGUCUAAUACCGGAUAGGACCGCACUUUAGUGUGUGUGUUGGAAAGUUUUUUCGGUGUAGGAUGAGCCCGCGGCCUAUCAGCUUGUUGGUGGGGUAAUGGCCUACCAAGGCGGCGACGGGUAGCCGGACUGAGAGGGUGUUCGGCCACAUUGGGACUGAGAUACGGCCCCGACCCCUACGGGAGGCAGCAGUGGGGAAUAUUGCACAAUGGGCGCAAGCCUGAUGCAGCGACGCCGCGUGGGGGAUGACGGCCUUCGGGUUGUAAACUCCUUUCGCCAGGGACGAAGCGUUUUGUGACGGUACCUGGAGAAGAAGCACCGGCUAACUACGUG
rnacentral:rRNA from 1 species